GACGAACGCUGGCGGCGUGCUUAACACAUGCAAGUCGAACGGAAAGGCCCUGCUUUUGUGGGGUGCUCGAGUGGCGAACGGGUGAGUAACACGUGAGUAACCUGCCCUUGACUUUGGGAUAACUUCAGGAAACUGGGGCUAAUACCGGAUAGGAGCUCCUGCUGCAUGGUGGGGGUUGGAAAGUUUCGGCGGUUGGGGAUGGACUCGCGGCUUAUCAGCUUGUUGGUGGGGUAGUGGCUUACCAAGGCUUUGACGGGUAGCCGGCCUGAGAGGGUGACCGGCCACAUUGGGACUGAGACACGGCCCAGACUCCUACGGGAGGCAGCAGUGGGGAAUAUCGCACAAUGGGCGGAAGCCUGAUGCAGCAACGCCGCGUGCGGGAUGACGGCCUUCGGGUUGUAAACCGCUUUCGCCUGUGACGAAGCGUGAGUGACGGUAAUGGGUAAAGAAGCACCGGCUAACUACGUG
rnacentral:rRNA from 1 species